GUUGGUGCUCCUGCGCGACACUCUUGCCAUCUGGAGGAAUGUCUAGUAGUGCGGGCAAACCGGCAGUCAGAAAAGUAGACGUCUGCGGUAAGUUGUUCGUGGAAUAACUUUGAACAAAGAACCGGAAGAGGAAGGCUGGCGAGGCUCCUGCAAAUCCAAGGUGACAGGACAGGGUGGCUCGCGUCACUCGAUCACUGGACAAGAAAUGUGACGGUGGACUAUGGACGCCGUGAAGAGAACCGAGGUAUUCCUGCGUGGCGGUGACGGAUAUGUGGUGCGAGACAGUCCCUGCCACUCACUCAUGCAUCCCCGACACCGCGACCUCCCGUGGUAAGGUGGAAGUUGCUGGGACACAGUGGUGGGCUUCGUCUCUUGUCAGGACGAAAAUACCAGGAAACAGGUUUGAAAUACUAGUGUAUUGGAUACAACUGCUCGAAGCGCUCCACAAGACACGAAACCAGUGUGAAGCGUUGGUGACGGAAGAGAAAGAAAGGACGGCGCGGUGCUGCUGUUGUCUGCUGCUGCUGCAUGUAACACAGCACCACCCCCUGGGGUGGCACUAGGAUGAGGUGGUCAGACAGAAUGAGUGAGGCCAUAGGAAAAAGCAGUGGUGCAUAAGACAUGCUGAUGGAGAUCACGUGGUCCGUCACGAUAGAGGCCUCUGAUGGUGCUGUGUGUGUGGGGAACAGAGAAGAGGAGACAGUGUGAUUGGCUGGUCAUAGUCUGCACUGCCAAGUGUUUCUUACUCACCUGUGGUCAAGAGUUCUCUCCACAGUGUCUCGCCAUGUUCACAAGACACUUGCUCAUCAUCCAGCCAGCCUUUCCCCCUA